GAAGAGUCUGGAGAAGGCAGUACAGUCCUACAGGUGGGAGAACCCACAGGAAGCAGGGCUAGGCUCUGGGGGGGCCUGAGCUAGGGCCUAUGAGGAGCAGGGAGAGCCCAUGGGGAAACUGCCGGAGUCCCUCGGGAUGGAAGGCAGGCAUUGAGAGGAAACCUGCUGAGGCAAGAAGCAAUCUGGGAAGAAUGCUGCAGGAGAGGGAGGCUCAGCAAAAGCAUGUCUGUGGUGCCUAGGAGGGGCAGGAGAUGUAUUUGGUUCAGCAGAGAAGGGAGAAGCAGAGGCUGUGUUAGACACAGGCUGUGGGGAAGCAGCAUAAGGGGGCUUAGAGCUAGGAAGUGGCCCAGGGAAACAGCAGCAUGUCUGCAGAAGCAGCAAUGCAGGGUCCUGGGGCCAGAACACAGAGCAGAGGGUGGGCCUGGGCUCCCGUGCCAGCUCCUGAGGAAAGGGGCAUGCAAGCCCAGGCUGCUGAGUGAGGGCCGGUUGGAACAUUGCAGUGCAGCCUGAGUGGGCCAGGAGAAUUAUUUGGACACGUAGCUUAGACUGUCAAUCGGACUCUUUUUUGUCACUCUGGAAGGGGAGUGAACUUUGUGAUGUGGCUGAGCUGCAAAAGACCCAACAGGCGGUGCUGGAGAUGAGGGUCGCUUGCAGCAUUGCACCCUGCGGCAAAAGGGCGCUCCCGAGGGUGAUUCUGUGCAGGGGCUUUGUGUUCUCCCUCUGAACUGCUGAUGCCCACUCCUGCCUCCGUUCCAGUCUGAGAGUGUUGUUCAGAGCAGUCACGUCACAUGAGCACAGGGUAGAAGGGGAGGGACACAGACUCUGCCCUCAAGCCACAUGAUAAACCCACACUUGGCUUCUGUAUCAUCCCCUUCUCUCUCUCAAACUCCUCUAAGCCACUCGGUGCCAGGACUAAGCUCACUGUAUACACGCUGCUUAGGAUCCAAGACACUGACUGGAAAACGUCACCUAGUCUGUCCUUUAACCAGCAUGGGACUCUUCUUUCCAGUGUUGUUUUUGUCAGUAAUCUACACACUGAAAAUGGCUUACAGAUGAGGGUCUACAAAUAACCAUUACAUUUCACAUCACCCCAGGGAGAUGAGGGGAACAAGUGUUGGUUUCCCUUGAGCUGCCAUAAGGGAAAGAAGGAGAUGUUCUGUGUAAGGGGGAGUGUUUGUACAUCCAGUUCCUGAAUACAAGCCUAUUAUC